rnacentral:rRNA from 1 species
GGCAUUAUACGGCGAAACUGCGAAUGGCUCAUUAUAUAAGUUAUCGUUUAUUUGAUAGCACCUUACUACUUGGAUAACCGUGGUAAUUCUAGAGCUAAUACAUGCUGAAAAUCCCGACUUCGGAAGGGAUGUAUUUAUUAGAUUAAAAACCAAUGCCCUCUGGGCUCUCUGGUGAUUCAUGAUAACUGCGCGAAUCGCAUGGCCUUGCGCCGGCGAUGGUUCAUUCAAAUUUCUUCCCUAUCAACUUUCGAUGUUUGGGUAGUGGCCAAACAUGGUUGCAACGGGUAACGGAGGGUUAGGGCUCGGCCCCGGAGAAGGAGCCUGAGAAACGGCUACUACAUCCAAGGAAGGCAGCAGGCGCGCAAAUUACCCAAUCCCGACACGGGGAGGUAGUGACAAUAAAUACUGAUACAGGGCUCUUUUGGGUCUUGUAAUUGGAAUGAGUACAAUUUAAAUCCCUUAACGAGGAACAAUUGGAGGGCAAGUCUGGUG